UGGGGAAUUUUGGGCAAUGGGCGAAAGCCUGAUCCAGCAAUGCCGCGUGUGUGAAGAAGGCCUUCGGGUUGUAAAGCACUUUUGUCCGGAAAGAAAUCCUUGGCUCUAAUACAGUCGGGGGAUGACGGUACCGGAAGAAUAAGCACCGGCUAACUACGUGCCAGCAGCCGCGGUAAUACGUAGGGUGCAAGCGUUAAUCGGAAUUACUGGGCGUAAAGCGUGCGCAGGCGGUUUGCUAAGACCGAUGUGAAAUCCCCGGGCUCAACCUGGGAACUGCAUUGGUGACUGGCAGGCUAGAGUAUGGCAGAGGGGGGUAGAAUUCCACGUGUAGCAGUGAAAUGCGUAGAGAUGUGGAGGAAUACCGAUGGCGAAGGCAGCCCCCUGGGCCAAUACUGACGCUCAUGCACGAAAGCGUGGGGAGCAAACAGGAUUAGAUACCCUGGUAGUCCACGCCCUAAACGAUGUCAACUAGUUGUUGGGGAUUCAUUUCCUUAGUAACGUAGCUAACGCGUGAAGUUGACCGCCUGGGGAGUACGGUCGCAAGAUUAAAACUUAAAUGAAUUGAAGGGGUCAU
rnacentral:rRNA from 1 species